GAUUGUAAUCUAGCCCUUUCGUUUUGAUGUUAGUGUACUGUGUGUGAGUAUACAUAUUUAUCACACACAGUCACUGUCUUUGAAAGCGAGGGUGCAUAUC
rnacentral:pre_miRNA from 1 species